UACGUAGGGGGCAAGCGUUGUCCGGAAUCAUUGGGCGUAAAGAGCGUGUAGGCGGUCCGGUAAGUCGGCUGUGAAAGUCCAGGGCUCAACCCUGGGAUGCCGGUCGAUACUGCCGGACUAGAGUUCGGAAGAGGCGAGUGGAAUUCCCGGUGUAGCGGUGAAAAUGCGCAGAUAUCGGGGAGGAACACCUAUGGCGAAGGCAGCUCGCUGGGACGUUACUGACGCUGAGACGCGAAAAGCGUGGGGGAGCAAACAGG
rnacentral:rRNA from 1 species